CCUACGGGCGGCAGCAGUGGGGAAUAUUGCACAAUGGGGGAAACCCUGAUGCAGCGACGCCGCGUGAGUGAAGAAGUAUUUCGGUACGUAAAGCUCUAUCAGCAGGGAAGAAAAUGACGGUACCUGACUAAGAAGCCCCGGCUAACUACGUGCCAGCAGCCGCGGUAAUACGUAGGGGGCAAGCGUUAUCCGGAUUUACUGGGUGUAAAGGGAGCGUAGGCGGCAGCGCAAGUCUGGAGUGAAAUCCCAUGGCUUAACCAUGGAACUGCUUUGGAAACUGUGCAGCUAGAGUGCAGGAGAGGUAAGCGGAAUUCCUGGUGUAGCGGUGAAAUGCGUAGAUAUUGGGAGGAACACCAGUGGCGAAGGCAGCUUACUGGACUGUAACUGACGUUGAGGCUCGAAAGCGUGGGGAGCAAACAGGAUUAGAUACCCUUGUAGUC
rnacentral:rRNA from 1 species